rnacentral:tRNA from 2 species
UGCCCGGUGGUGUAAUGGUAGCACCGCAGGUUUUGGACCUGUUAGUUGGGGUUCGAAUCCCUACCGGGCAACCA